UUAAUCAUGAGUCGCGAACGGGUGAGUAACGCGUAGGUAACCUGCCUCAUAGCGGGGGAUAACUAUUGGAAACGAUAGCUAAUACCGCAUAACAGUAUUUAUCGCAUGGUAAAUGCUUGAAAGGAGCAACUGCUUCACUAUGAGAUGGACCUGCGUUGUAUUAGCUAGUUGGUGGGGUAACGGCUCACCAAGGCCUCGAUACAUAGCCGACCUGAGAGGGUGAUCGGCCACACUGGGACUGAGACACGGCCCAGACUCCUACGGGAGGCAGCAGUAGGGAAUCUUCGGCAAUGGGGGGAACCCUGACCGAGCAACGCCGCGUGAGUGAAGAAGGUUUUCGGAUCGUAAAGCUCUGUUGUAAGAGAAGAAUGUGUGUGAGAGUGGAAAGUUCACACAGUGACGGUAACUUACCAGAAAGGGACGGCUAACUACGUGCCAGCAGCCGCGGUAAUACGUAGGUCCCGAGCGUUGUCCGGAUUUAUUGGGCGUAAAGCGAGCGCAGGCGGUUUGAUAAGUCUGAAGUAAAAGGCUGUGGCUUAACCAUAGUACGCUUUGGAAACUGUCAAACUUGAGUGCAGAAGGGGAGAGUGGAAUUCCAUGUGUAGCGGUGAAAUGCGUAGAUAUAUGGAGGAACACCGGUGGCGAAAGCGGCUCUCUGGUCUGUAACUGACGCUGAGGCUCGAAAGCGUGGGGAGCGAACAGGAAUAGAUACCCUGGUAGUCCACGCCGUAAACGAUGAGUGCUAGGUGU
rnacentral:rRNA from 1 species